CUGCGUUUCCCCAAGUUCCCAACGAGCUGAGUGAGAGGUUUUCAGUGCACGGGAGCUCCUGGUGCUCCGUGAAGCUUUCAUCCAUUCAUUAAUCCUCUCCCCUCCCACCCUCCUCUCCCUCUGUUCCCUGACUCCUCCCUGCAGGCCAGCCAGCUCGGUGUGUACAAAGCGUUUGUCGAUAACUAUAAAGUUGCUCUGGAGACAGCUGAGAAGUGCAGCCAGUCCAACAACCAGUUCCAGAAGAUCUCAGAGGAACUCAAAGUGAAAGGUCCCAAGGACUCCAAGGACAGCCACACGUCUGUCACCAUGGAAGCUCUGCUCUACAAGCCCAUUGACCGGGUCACUCGGAGCACCCUAGUCCUACACGACCUGCUGAAGCACACACCUGUGGACCACCCCGACUACCCGCUGCUGCAGGAUGCCCUCCGCAUCUCCCAGAACUUCCUGUCCAGCAUCAACGAGGACAUCGACCCCCGCCGGACUGCAGUGACAACGCCCAAGGGGGAGACGCGACAGCUGGUGAAGGACGGCUUCCUGGUGGAAGUGUCAGAGAGCUCCCG
rnacentral:sRNA from 1 species